CCUACGGGUGGCAGCAGUGGGGAAUAUUGCGCAAUGGGCGAAACCCUGAUGCAGCAACGCCGCGUGAGUGAAGAAGUAUUUCGGUUUGUAAAGCUCUAUUAGCAGGGAAGAAAAUGACCGUACCUGUUUAAGAUGCCCCGGCUAACUACGUGCCAGCAGCCGCGGUAAUACGUAGGGGGCAAGCGUUAUCCGGAUUUACUGGGUGUAAAGGGAGCGUAUACGGGAGCACAAGUCUGGAGUGAAAUGCCUGGGCUUAACCCCGGGACUGCAUUGGAAACUGUGUAGCUAGAGUGCAGGAGAGGCAAGUGGAAUUCCGAGUGUAGCGGUGAAAUGCGUAGAUAUUAGGAGGAACACCAGUGGCGAAGGCGGCUUACUGGACUGUAACUGACGUUGAGGCUCGAAAGCGUGGGGAGCAAACAGGAUUAGAUACCCCAGUAGUC
rnacentral:rRNA from 1 species